rnacentral:lncRNA from 1 species
CACAUAAUUAAUGAUUUAAUUUAAAGUAAUAACCGAAUGUAAGGUGGAAGAAAAUUUACCGAAAUCGGUGUCAAAUUCAGGCUUUCUAUCCAAAAGAGUGCAAUUUCAGUCUCUCUCUCCGGUUUCCUAAUUUUUGGCCUUGCACGAAUCUUUGAACGGACCUGGAACAUUGCGCCAUGGUUUAUUUCAUGUGGAUCAAGUCCACCUAACAUGUGUUCUGCUUCUUCUUCCUCAAUAACGCGCAUCACGUGCCUGGUACAACGCGCCAAGUAUUGCGCAUCGCGCGUCGUGCGCUCAGCACCGCGCGCCGCACGCUUAGCAUCGCGCACCCUGCUUCCUUCCUCCUUCUCCUUCUCCUUCUCCUUCCUCUUUUUCUUCUUUCUCUUCUUAUUCUUCCUCUUCUUCUUCUUCUUCUUCUUCUUCUUCUUCUUCUUCUUCUUCUUCUU